CUUAAACGAUGGAAACUCGAUUUACGACCUUGAACCACAUGUCGAAUUCUUUAUUCACUAGAAUAAACCAAUGGGCCACACGCUCUUGGUUCAUGAGGCGUGUUUACCUUACAAUCACCACUAAUAAUUGUGUCAAAACUUAUAAGAUCCAUUAGAGUAAAAAAUUGUAGCACUAUGUACGAUCUUGUUUGCGUUUGUAAAAGAUAAUGGGAAAGAAAAACUCUAAAGUAACAAAAAAGUGGUCAUUGCAUGCUGAGCAAUGCAGAAUUUGGUCACCGGAUAUCCCUUGGAAGAUCCUUUCUCCUUCACCUUCUCCACCAGGAGCUAAACUUUUUUUUUUUAACAUUCCACCAGGAGUUACACAUAUAUUGAUAUAUAUGCACGUAAAAAUGGGUGAGUUUAUAUAUAGAUUUGUACGUGUGUUUUGUAUAUAGACUUAUUAUAUAUAAACGCAUAGCCCCAUACAAAAACAUAGCAUGCAUACAUGCAAUGUCUACAAGCAACACCAAAAGGAAUAUUCCAUUAGUUAUUCGAUUCGUUGAAAUAUAUCACACAAUUUUUACAAAAUAAAAUAAAAUAAAAAGAUUUCACUUCAGCUAUGUUUAUUCUUGUUGAGUUGAUUGUACUAAUUACAGAAACAUACUUUAUAGUACAAAGAGCAUGUGUCAUCACUUUGCACUAACUCUUUUUCAAGUUUCACUUACUCGUUUCACAUGCACUUUCUAUAUAUAUAUAUAUAACCUUCUUCAUAUACCGUUCACAAUCGUCAUCUCUCAUCUCCGAAAGCAUGCCUAACAACAAGAGCAAACACGAGGCAAUACCUCAAGACAAAGAUCUUCCGGGAUCACCGAUAGCUACUACAUGAAUAUGAACUCGGACGAGAGGAGAUGAGAGAUCGAGAAGUUUACCAAGGUCUUGGUCAACGGUAACCACACUAGUACAUUAUGAAUCUCUCUCUCUGACCGGGCAAUUUCGGAACCUUUGGCAAUGUUUCUCUUGGUAUCUCUAUUUAUGUUAUUGUGUCUUGUCUAUCGGUUUGUAGUAAAUCUUCUUGUUAUCGUUUUGUGAACGGAACAUUUUUUCUUGUUUGCACUAUUUAUUUUUCUUGACGAGCUGAUGACAAUAAUAUAUAAUCUCGCAACAA